UACGGAGGGGGCAAGCGUUAUUCGGAAUUAUUGGGCGUAAAGGGCGCGUAGGCGGCUAGAUGUGUCAAAGGUGAAAUCCCUCGGCUCAACUGAGGAACUGCCUUUGAAACUGUCUGGCUUGAGGCCGGGAGAGGGUAGCGGAAUUCCCAGUGUAGCGGUGAAAUGCGUAGAUAUCGAGAGGAACACCUGCGGCGAAGGCGGGUUGCUGGGCUGAUACUGACGCUGAGACACGAAAGCGUGGGUAGCAAACAGG
rnacentral:rRNA from 1 species